rnacentral:rRNA from 1 species
AACGAACGCUGGCGGCAGGCUUAACACAUGCAAGUCGAACGCAUCCUUCGGGAUGAGUGGCAGACGGGUGAGUAACGCGUGGGAACGUGCCCUUCAGUUCGGGAUAACCCAGGGAAACUUGGGCUAAUACCGGAUACGUGCGAGAGCAGAAAGAUUUAUCGCUGAAGGAUCGGCCCGCGUCUGAUUAGCUAGUUGGUGGGGUAAUGGCCCACCAAGGCGACGAUCAGUAGCUGGUCUGAGAGGAUGAUCAGCCACAUUGGGACUGAGACACGGCCCAAACUCCGACGGGAGGCAGCAGUGGGGAAUAUUGGACAAUGGGCGCAAGCCUGAUCCAGCCAUGCCGCGUGAGUGAUGAAGGCCUUAGGGUUGUAAAGCUCUUUCGUCCGGGACGAUAAUGACGGUACCGGAAGAAGAAGCCCCGGCUAACUUCGUGCCAGCCGCCGCGGUAA